rnacentral:rRNA from 1 species
AGAAUCAACGCUGGCGGCGUGCCUAACACAUGCAAGUCGAACGAGAAAGUGGAGCAAUCCAUGAGUAAAGUGGCGCACGGGUGAGUAACACGUGACUAACCUACCCUUGAGUGGGGGAUAACCUAGGGAAACCUGGGCUAAUACCGCAUAAUACCUACGGGUCAAAGGAGCAAUUCGCUUUAGGAGGGGUCGCGGCAGAUUAGUUAGUUGGCGGGGUAAUGGCCCACCAAGACGAUGAUCUGUA